rnacentral:rRNA from 1 species
UGCCAGACUCCUACGGGAGGCAGCAGUGGGGAAUAUUGCACAAUGGGCGAAAGCCUGAUGCAGCGACGCCGCGUGAAGGAUGAAGUAUUUCGGUAUGUAAACUUCUAUCAGCAGGGAAGAAAAUGACGGUACCUGACUAAGAAGCCCCGGCUAACUACGUGCCAGCAGCCGCGGUAAUACGUAGGGGGCAAGCGUUAUCCGGAUUUACUGGGUGUAAAGGGAGCGUAGACGGCGAUGCAAGCCAGAUGUGAAAGCCCGGGGCUCAACCCCGGGACUGCAUUUGGAACUGUGUGGCUGGAGUGUCGGAGAGGCAAGUGGAAUUCCUAGUGUAGCGGUGAAAUGCGUAGAUAUUAGGAGGAACACCAGUGGCGAAGGCGGCUUACUGGACUGUAACUGACGUUGAGGCUCGAAAGCGUGGGGAGCAAACAGGAUUAGAUACCCCAGUACGA